CUCCUUACCCUAUAUUUACAGCAGUACAUUACAUUUACAGCCAAAAGUAAAUCUAGUAACAAGUCAUUGCUUUGUCUGUAUUCCUGUCCAUUUCUCAAUUAUUUUUUUCUUCCCUUAAAUGCAAUUUUUCAGAUUUGCCGUUUACAACAAGCCUCUGCAUUACUAGCUUUCUUCUAAAUAAAAUGUACACUGAAGUCAUACCUGUGAUACAACUUCCGCUGGGUCGCAUUAAGAAGUGUGCUGUCAGUCACAUGGAAAACACGGAAGAAAGGUCAAGAAGAGAGUACAGGAUAUGAAGGAAUGUCGCGCAAUCAAGUCCUGGUUUUCAAGUGCACAGAAGCCCUACACAGGCAUUUGCAGCCUGAUCCUGCAAGUCUUUCCUGACAGCAGCUGCCAGUGUUUGUGCAAGCACCUGAGGAAAGCCAAAAGGCUGAUGUGCAUCACCGGUGUUCCUGGAGACAGGAGGACAGCAGUGUUCAUAUGUGAUUCCACAGCAGUACAUGAGCAAGAGAUAAUGCCUUGGUCUCCACCGUUGAAGUCUAGAUACAUUCCCCCAUAAAGAAAAGAAAUGGCAAUAGCGAGAGUAAAAGCAGCCUCCAGCGUACAAGAAGCUUUUUGCUUUAGCAACCUGCCAGGCCACAAAAACGUGCCACUUUAAAGAAGAAGGCACAUUGUUGCUGGAGAAGAUAGCCUCUGGGCAAUGCUCAGCAAUGGGAUUACAGCGAAUUCCAUCUUGGACAACAGCUUGAUGAUACAGAUGGGGAAGAGUUCAGUGUUUGCAAUUGAACUUUCUCACCAGAAACCUCAGAAGUUUUGUGAAAUUUUGUCUUUAAUUUUGACUUGUCUUUAAUUUAAUUUAUGCAUUUAUGUCUGUAUCUAAAUUUAAUGGAG
rnacentral:lncRNA from 1 species